rnacentral:rRNA from 1 species
GGCUCAGGACGAACGCUGGCGGUGUGCUUCACACAUGCAAGUCGAACGAGGUAGCAAUACCUAGUGGCGGACGGGUGAGUAACGCGUGGGAAUCUGCCUUUGAAUGGGGGAUAACGGGCCGAAAGGUCCGCUAAUACCGCAUAGGCCGCAAGGUUAAAGGAGUAAUCCGUUCAAAGAUGAGCCCGCGUCCGAUUAGCUAGUUGGUAAGGUAAAGGCUUACCAAGGCGACGAUCGGUAGCUGGUCUGAGAGGAUGAUCAGCCACAAUGGGACUGAGACACGGCCCAUACUCCUACGGGAGGCAGCAGUGGGGAAUUUUACGCAAUGGGGGAAACCCUGACGUAGCGACACCGCGUGAGCGAAGAAGCCCUUUGGGGUGUAAAGCUCUGUCAGUUGGAACGAAAAAAAUGACGGUACCAACAGAGGAAGCAUCGGCUAACUACGUGCCAGCAGCCGCGGUAAGACGUAGGAUGCGAGCGUUGUCCGGAUUUAUUGGGCGUAAAGAGUUCGUAGGUGGUUUGUUAAGUCUGAUGUUAAAGAUUGGGGCUCAACCCUGAAACUGCAUUGGAUACUGGCAGACUUGAGUGUGGUAGAGGCUAGUGGAAUUCCCAGUGUAGCGGUGAAAUGCGUAGAUAUUGGGAAGAACACCGGUGGCGUAGGCGACUAGCUGGGCCAUAACUGACACUGAGGAACGAAAGCCAGGGUAGCGAAUGGGAUUAGAUACCCCAGUAGUCCUGGCCGUAAACGAUGGAUACUAGGCGUAUCGGGUAUCGACCCCUGAUGUGCCGCAGCUAACGCGAUAAGUAUCCCGCCUGAGUAGUACGGGCCGCAGGGUGAAACUCAAAG